UACACUCCUGCGGGAGGCAGCAGUGGGGAAUAUUGGACAAUGGGCGCAAGCCUGAUCCAGCCAUGCCGCGUGAGUGAUGAAGGCCCUAGGGUUGUAAAGCUCUUUCACCGGAGAAGAUAAUGACGGUAUCCGGAGAAGAAGCCCCGGCUAACUUCGUGCCAGCAGCCGCGGUAAUACGAAGGGGGCUAGCGUUGUUCGGAAUUACUGGGCGUAAAGCGCACGUAGGCGGAUCGAUCAGUCAGGGGUGAAAUCCCAGGGCUCAACCCUGGAACUGCCUUUGAUACUGUCGAUCUGGAGUAUGGAAGAGGUGAGUGGAAUUCCGAGUGUAGAGGUGAAAUUCGUAGAUAUUCGGAGGAACACCAGUGGCGAAGGCGGCUAACUGGUCCAUUACUGACGCUGAGGUGCGAAAGCGUGGGGAGCAAACAGGAUUAGAAACCCUGGUAGUCCCAUGA
rnacentral:rRNA from 1 species